AUACGUAGGGUGCGAGCGUUAAUCGGAAUUACUGGGCGUAAAGCGUGCGCAGGCGGAUAUUUAAGUCAGACGUGAAAUCCCCGGGCUUAACCUGGGAAUGGCGUUUGAAACUGGAUGUCUAGAGUGUGGCAGAGGGGGGUGGAAUUCCACGUGUAGCAGUGAAAUGCGUAGAGAUGUGGAGGAACACCGAUGGCGAAGGCAGCCCCCUGGGCUAACACUGACGCUCAUGCACGAAAGCGUGGGGAGCAAACAGGAUUAGAUACCCUGGUAGUCCACGCCCUAAACGAUGUCAACUGGCUGUUGGGAGCGCAAGUUCUUAGUAGCGAAGCUAACGCGUGAAGUUGACCGCCUGGGGAGUACGGCCGCAAGGUUGAA
rnacentral:rRNA from 1 species